AAGGAUUAAGCUUCAGCAUAUAUAUAUAUAGAGAGAGAGAGAGGAAUGCUGUAGCUGAUUGUUUGGCUACUUGGGGUCACAACUUGGAUCCGGGCUUCUGCUUGAGGGGAGUCCUGCCUGGCCUGGGCUCUGUUGCUUGAUGUUUCGUUGGGGUUUGGUGUCUGGGGGUUUUCCCCUUUUCUUCAUAAAAGAAAAACAUAUGGAAUCUCUUAGCGCUUGUUGAAGGGCCUUAAUCUUGAUCAGUUCGUGCUCUUCGUCAUGGAACUGUGAGGAAGCAUCAUAAGGGAUAUGAGGAGGUCAUUCCCCCAACGCCAACAGCACAAAUGAAAACCUGGGAAAAGCUGGUUUGUGCUCCAACAGGAGCUUGCAAAACAAACGUAGCUAUGAUUUCUAUUCUGCAUGAGAUACGGCAAAUGAUUGGCUAUUCCUGGGUUUCUAUUCUCAUUUUUGAUUGCACAGCACUUCAAAGACGGUGCUUGCAUAAAGAUGAAUUUAAGAUAGUUUAUGUUGCACCAAUGAAGGCAUUAGCUGCAGAAGUUACAUCAACUUUUAGCCAUCGCUUAUCUCCAUUGAAUAUAACUGUGAGAGAACUUACUGGAGACAUGCAACUUUAUAAGAAUGAACUUGAAGAAACUCAGAUGAUAGUCGCAACACCUGAGAAAUGGGAUGUCAUUACUCACAAGAGCAGUCACAUGUCACUUUCAAUGUUGGUGAAGAUCCUAAUUUUUGAUUAAGUGCAUCUAUUAAAUGAUGAUGGAGGCCCUGUAAUUGAGGCACUAGUUGCUUGAACUUUGCGCCAGGUGGAGUCUACACAGACAAUGAUACGCAUUGUAGGCCUUUCAGCCACUCUACCGAACUAUUUAGAGGUUGCUACAGUUUCUGAGAGUGAAUCCAGAAGCAGGACUCUUCUUCUUUAUUUCUAGUUAUCGCUCUGUCCGCCUCGCACAGCAAUAUAUUGGUAUUAGUGAGCAGAAUUUUACAGCCCAUAUUGAAUUGCAGAAUGAGAGAUGCUACAAGAAGGUUUCUUUUUCCUUGGGCUCUCUUUUGUGUAACGUAUGUAAUUAUUUAACUGAUUGAUACUUUUUUCUGCCAGUUUGUUGAAUCACUCAGGAAAGGUUAUCAGGCAAUGGUAUUUGUUCCUUGAAAGACAAUUUAAAGGAUAUGUUAAGAUGAUUCACUUUUCCUUAUUGUUCUUGAAAUUUUCUCUAUGCAGUUUAUAAGUUCCUUGAAAGACAAUUUAAAUGCAGAGGUUGCACGUGGUACUGUCACCAAUGUCAAGGAAGCUUGUGAAUGGCUUGGAUAUAUGUAUCUUUUCAUAAGAAUGAGGCUGAAUCCUUUGGUGUAUGGUAUUGGGUGGGAUGAGGUUGUUGCUGAUCCUUCCUUGAGUUUAAAGCAAAGAGUUCUCAUAGCAAAUGCUGCACGUGCCCUGGACAAAGCAAAAAUGAUGCGCUUUGAUGAGAAAAGUGGCAACUUUUUGUACAGAGCUUGGUCGAAUUGCAAGCCACUUUUAUAUUCAAUACUCAAAUGUUGAAACAUAGAAUGAAAUGUUGAGACGCCACAUGAAUGAGACUGAGGUAAUAGACAUGGUAGCCCACUCUUCAGAAAUUGAAAAUAUUGUUGUUCGAGAUGAGGAACAGAAUGAGCUAGAGACGUUGGUGCAAUCAUCGUGCCCAUUAGAAGUUAAGGGGACUCCUAAAAAACAUGGAAAGAUAUCCAUUCUCAUUCAGUUGUACAGAUCUUGUGGCUCAAUGGAUACCUUUUCGUUGGUUUCUGAUGCAGCAUACAUAAGUGCAAGCUUGGCACGGAUUAUGCUUUCACAUUUUAUCAAAUUUAUAGACUGAAUUAAUUGUGUGUUUUUCAUACCAUACAACUCUGCUGUGAUUUGUUUCUGAUUGUCAUCAAAUAGUAUGCUCUGUAGUUAAGUAUAAAAUUUUGAUUUUGCACUUGAGGUUCCUUAUUGUGCGGUGCGGGUGAAACAUUUGGUGUAUGAUCUUUGUGUUCCAUU